UGGGGAAUUUUGGACAAUGGGGGCAACCCUGAUCCAGCAAUGCCGCGUGUGUGAAGAAGGCCUUCGGGUUGUAAAGCACUUUUGUCCGGAAAGAAAUCCUCUGGGUUAAUAACUCGGGGGGAUGACGGUACCGGAAGAAUAAGCACCGGCUAACUCCGUGCCAGCAGCCGCGGUAAUACGUAGGGUGCGAGCGUUAAUCGGAAUUACUGGGCGUAAAGCGUGCGCAGGCGGUUUUGUAAGCCAGAUGUGAAAUCCCCGGGCUUAACCUGGGAAUGGCAUUUGGGACUGCAAGGCUUGAGUGCGGCAGAGGAGACUGGAAUUCCUGGUGUAGCAGUGAAAUGCGUAGAUAUCAGGAGGAAUACCGAUGGCGAAGGCAGGUCUCUGGGCUGACACUGACGCUCAUGCACGAAAGCGUGGGGAGCAAAC
rnacentral:rRNA from 1 species